CCUACGGGGGGCUGCAGUGAGGAAUAUUGGUCAAUGGUCGGGAGACUGAACCAGCCAAGCCGCGUGAGGGAGGAAGGUACAGAGUAUCGUAAACCUCUUUUGUCAGGGAACAAAGACGGGGACGCGUCCCCGGAUGAGUGUACCUGAAGAAAAAGCAUCGGCUAACUCCGUGCCAGCAGCCGCGUUAAUACGGAGGAUGCGAGCGUUAUCCGGAUUUAUUGGGUUUAAAGGGUGCGCGGGCGGUCUGUUAAGUCAGCGGUCAAAGCCCGGGGCUCAACCCCGGCCGGCCGUUGAAACUGGCAGUCUGGAGUUGGAGAGAAGUACGCGGAAUGCGCGGUGUAGCGGUGAAAUGCAUAGAUAUCGCGCAGAACUCCGAUUGCGAAGGCAGCGUACCGGCUCCACACUGACGCUGAGGCACGAAAGCGUGGGUAUCGAACAGGAUUAGAUACCCCAGUAGUC
rnacentral:rRNA from 1 species